GCAGCCCCUGGGUCUGUGCAGUGACCAGCCAGUCCCUGAGAACUUUCCCCUCCAGCACUCGGGAAAAUGGGAAUUUUGCUCCUUGUGAUUUUCGCUGUAGCCGCUUUGGAAGGUGUCCGGUGCCAGGUGCAGCUGGUGGAGUCCGGAGGGGACGUGAAAAAGCCCGGAGACUCUCUCCGCCUCUCCUGCAAAGCCUCCGGGUUCACCUUCAGCAGCGCCUACAUGCACUGGGUCCGGCAGGCCCCCGGGAAGGGGCUGGAGUGGGUGGCUGAGAUUAGACCCGAUGCAUCCAAGCAGUGGUACUCCCCGGCUGUUGAAGGCCGAUUCACCAUCUCCAGGGACAACUCCAACAACCUGCUGUAUCUGCAACUGACCGGCCUGAAGCCCGAGGACACCGCCCGGUAUCGCUGUGCGAGGGAAGCACAGUGA